UAACAGUAAAGAUACAAGAAUAAUAAAGAAACCUGGGAAACCUUUCUACCCUGAGUACUCUACAGUGACAAUCAAUUCUCUUGUGGGAUUUGAAACCCUCAAGAGAGGCAGCAGUCUACAUUGGUAAUGAGAGAAGGAGAAAAAAGGAUUUUGAGUCGCGAGGAGAGUAGAAUGUAUACAGUAGGGGGGCGGUAUGUCAGAGAAGCUUAAGUCUGAGGGUCUGCAUUCUAGAACCAUUGCUGGGUCAGCUUGUGGAGCUGCUUUCACAUCUUGAGAGGGUUGAACAAUAUCUACCCAGAAGACUAGAAAAUAUAUAUGAAUAACAGUGUUUCCUUCAAGACGCUUAACAAUACGUAUCGGUCAAAAGCAUCUAUUUGAUGAUCAUGUUUGUUCCUUCAUUGACUGAGCCAAAUGAAGGGCCUCGAGCAGAACACCAGACCCAGCAUCUCUAAGGACGGCAUGGUGGUUCCAAAGAGCACAGCCCCGGAGCUCCCAGCUGAAGCUCAGCGUUGGCAAUGCAGACAGAGCUGGGAGAAACCCAGCCACCAUCAUCACCACCACCACCACCACCACCGCCGCCGCCGCAGGCAGGCCAUUGCCCCAGGCAGCAAUAAAGGCUCCCCGAGGCCUUUUGUCAAUUGCCCCCUGAACAGAAAAUAAACAUCUCCACGGCUGCCAUUCAGUGGACAUCCUGUUUACAUGGUGAGCGGGGAUCUUGGUUGCUUUCCCUUUUUUCUUUUUAAAGGCUGUAAUUAUGUUUACCCAAGUCCAGCAGUAGGUGCCAGGAGGGCUGUGAGUUGAUUUCCCUGGCUAACACUGCAGACGGCUGGCGGCAGCCCCACUGACCCCUGCAUCCCGGGCAGAGAGCCAGCCCUACACGCACACCGACACUCUCCCUACAAAGACAGCCAUUCUGGCCUAGCUGUUUUCUUUCCAUGCACACUGGGAUACUCUGGAUAAUGGUCUAGCAAAUGCCAAACUACGUCGGCGCCAUGAACUUACUGGGUAGCUGAAUUAUGAAGGAAAGAGAAAGGUAAAAAGCUCUGUGGAAGGCUGCCUGUGUACCAGGCAGUGUACUGUAUGCAUUUCAUAGACAUUGUUUCAGAUAACCCUGUACAAUCCAGAGUUAUGUAUCAUUAUCCGACUUU